rnacentral:rRNA from 1 species
GAUCUGAGAGGACUACCCCCCACACGGAUACUGAGACACGGAUCCGACUCCUACGGGAGGCAGCAGUGAGGAAUAUUGGACAAUGCCCGCAAGGGUGAUCCAGCCAUGCCGCGUGCAGGAAGAAGGCGCUAUGCGUCGUAAACUGCUUUUACACCAGAGAAAACCCUCCUACGUGUAGGGGGCUGAUAGUACGGUGAGAAUAAGCAUCGGCUAACUUCGUGCCAGCAGCCGCGGUAAGACGAAGGAUGCAAGCGUUAUCCGGAUUCAUUGGGUUUAAAGGGAGCGUAGGCGGCCCUAUAAGUCAGUGGUGAAAUCUCUCGGCUUAACCGAGAAAUUGCCAUUGAUACUGUAGGGCUUGAGUACAGUUGCCGUUGGCGGAAUAUGACAUGUAGUGGUGAAAUACAUAGAGAUGUCAUAGAACACCGAUUGCGAAGGCAGCUAACGAAGCUGUAACUGACGCUGAGGCUCGAAAGUGCGGGGAUCAAACAGGAUUAGAUACCCUGGUAGUCCGCACUGUAAACGAUGAUUACUCGCUGCUGGAGGGCAACCUUCAGUGGCUUAGCGAAAGCGAUAAGUAAUCCACCUGGGGAGUACGCCGGCAACGGUGAAACUCAAAGGAAUUGACGGGGGCCCGCACAAGCGGAGGAGCAUGUGGUUUAAUUCGAUGAUACGCGAGGAACCUUACCAGGGCUUGAAAGUUAGUGACCGACUCUGAAAGGAGUCUUUCAGCAAUGACACGAAACUAGGUGCUGCAUGGCUGUCGUCAGCUCGUGCCGUGAGGUGUUGGGUUAAGUCCCGCAACGAGCGCAACCCCUACCAUUAGUUGCCAGCGGUUCGGCCGGGGACUCUAAUGGAACUGCCCGUGCAAACGGAGAGGAAGGUGGGGACGACGUCAAGUCAUCACGGCCCUUACGUCCUGGGCUACACACGUGCUACAAUGGUUAUUACAGAGGGCAGCUACCUGGCAACAGGAUGCAAAUCUUCAAAAAUAAUCUCAGUUCGGAUUGGGGUCUGCAACUCGACCCCAUGAAGCUGGAUUCGCUAGUAAUCGCGCAUCAGCAAUGGCGCGGUGAAUACGUUCCCGGGCCUUGUACACACCGCCCGUCAAACAAUGGAAGUUGGGGGUAUCUAAAGUCGGUAGCCGUAAGGCGCCGCCUAGGGUAAAACUGAUAACUGGUGUUAAGUCGAAACAAGGUAGCCGUACCGGAUGGUGCGGCUG